GCUGGGUGUGGUGGCGCACGCCUGUAAUCCCAGCACUUUGGGAGGCCGAGGAAGGUGGAUCACCUGAGGUCAGGAGUUCACGACCGGCCUGACCAACAUGGUGAAAUCCCGUCUCUA
rnacentral:SRP_RNA from 1 species